rnacentral:lncRNA from 1 species
UCAUAUCCAGGUCACGCUGAUGUAGGAGAAUCUGGGCUAUCCCUGUGACUUGCUUUGACUAAUGGAGUGUGACAGAAUGACGUUGUGCAACAUCCAAAUCAGGACUUAAGAAACUGUAGGCAGCCAUCAUGCUGUGAACCCAAGCUGUGUGGAGAGACUAAGUGGAGGUGAAUGGAGUCAGUUCAGUCAACAGCCCUACCUGAUAUUUCAGUCCAUAACUAGCCCUGUGUGUCAGCCCUGUGAACAGGUCGUCUUGGACUUUUCACCCCAGUUGAGAAUAAUGACUACAUCCUCAGCUGAUAGCACAUGGAACAGAGGAACUACCUAGCUUAGCUGGGCCCAUAUUGCA